GUUUACCAGUUUGGCUUCAGACUACGGUAGGAGGCUGCUGGAUGCAGGGGUUGAGCAACUGGGGGCUGCUGCAGUUGAAUAGACCAGGGAAAGCGGCGGCCUGCCCUGUAGGUUUCCUAGCUUGUCAGUUUAAUGACACAGGGAGUGAAUGCUCCCAGAUGAUGAGGAAAUUGCUUGUUCAUCCAAGCAACGUAAUCCAUAUGGCCAAGUGAACCAAUGACUGACCGACAAUCUGAUGAUGGGGAGGCAUCCAUUUAGGCAGGUGGUGAUGGAUGGAAAGUUUGUUGGGUUUGUGAGCUGUGUCAAACUAGUUUGCACAAGCUGCCAUUUGGAUGUCCAGUGUCCCUGCUGUUCCUUUGUGUUUUAUUUCAAAGACUUAAAAUACCUAUCAUUUCUUGCGGAACUCGGGAUGGACUGUCAGGUAAAGUGGUUUUAUGACAUCCAUGGUUGGGUCUGGGGAGCCGGGCUUAUAUGAUGAAUCUGUUUCAUCCUCUUGAAGCUUUCAGAAGGAAUCUGUCUUUCUCCUUGCUCUAUUUGCUUCUGUUGGAUUCCUCAAAGUUUUGUAAUGAUUGGUAUAUCCCUUGUUUUGAGUUCUUUUCUGGCGUUAUAUUAAAGGGUGAAGAGAUGAGCCCCCUGAAAUUGUAGCAGUUACUUGAAUUUGUCAGUUUCUUAUCGUUAGUAGAGGGUUAUCUUCUUUCAGCUUAUGUUGAGCAAAUGGACCAACCACAGGAACAAGAAAUUUCAAGCAAAUUGGGGGGGGGGUUGUCUCUCAUGCUUCAUCCCAUCUUAUGUUCUUUCUACAACCUAAGCAAUGAUAAUUCAGAUUGUGGAAUAAGUAUUCUUAAUUAUGAUUAUUUAGGAAUUUUGUGUGGAUUUGUUUUCUGUACCUUCAUUAACAUCUUGAUCUCAUACCUCACCUGCAUCCUGGUACUUUAAACAAACAAAACUACUGAUUAGUGCAGUUUAUUUCCUUGAUGAAGAUAAUUUUGCUGCCAACUUUUCCCCCAUUCUUGGCUUUCAUCCUUUGAUGGAUGUCUGGCCAGGUAUUCAUUCAUUCUCUACAAACAUUUUUAGGUCUGUCCAUUGUUAUAUUGCCCUGUGGUUCUAAGUUUGGGGAACCAGCUUUUUUCAUUAUUUGCUUUAUAUAAGAAAUUCCAUACGUGGUACACAUGCAAUCUGUUCAUUAUUUCCUAAACUCUGUUAUGGGUAAACUUUGUACAGCAUAAACAUUUCUUAGGCCUAGCUGACGCUGGUUAUGGUUGCAAUAGAUCGUGAGCUUCUAGGUUUUAAUAAGUUAUGUUUCAGAGGGUCAGCAUAAUAGUGGAUGCAAUCAAUUUGAGAGUUUUCUUUUGUGUUAGCUAAGAUUCUGCUUUUCCUUGUGCUGCAAGCUUUAUUGGUUGAGGACUUUCAAUUGUCGCCAUUUCCAAAAUUUCUGUUUCUUGAUCUGACAACUUGUCCAGAUUAAAGUAUUAUGAGAACCAUGUUAGACUAAUCUUCCAUGUGUUCCACAGCUACAGGUCGCUCACUUUGUUGGCUAGAUUAUGUUUUGCUUGCUCCAGCUCCAUUUCCAAAGUUGCACACAGGUACGAACUCAAAAAGAUGAGCAACCUGUAAUUAUUAUUUGCAGAGGAAUAACAAACACAACACUGGAUGCCAGGUUUUUUGUGGUUUUGGAGCUUUUUCCCAUAUGCGAAACCCUACUGAGAUGGAAGGAGAUUUAACCAACUUGGCAUAACUGACCAGGUAUUCAGCUCUAUACAUCAUUUUGGGAGUUUUGCUUGAACAUUAUACUACCAUGGGCAGUCAGAUACUUGGCCUCGCAGCAAAUCCAGGUCUGACAUGUAUACACCCACACACCCGCACCCACAAACAGAACUUUGUUCUAGUUUGAUGAACUUGACAUUUUGUAAAAAUAUUACUCUACAUGAACCCUGUUAUCAACAUUAUUAUCUUUUCUAAGUUCCACAGUGCUUCUAUACAAGUUUAUCAUGUCCUUGCCAUAUACUUAAUCAAGGAUGCUUAUUUUCCGAAUCAAAUAUCUGUGUAUCUCAAUGUUUUGAAAACUGAAGAUGCAGAAAACAAUUUGAUGCUUACAACUUUUUCUAACAGAUGUUACCUUAUUGCAAUCCUCACUCCUUCCUAUGAGUUCUAUCUAAUCUGCUGUCCCUUUCUUCCUUCUUUUACCUAUCUGUAGCUUCUGUAAUCUGGACCCUUUUCAGGUGCCUUAGCUGUUUUUGAUGUUUCAUGAUCUGAACAGAUUUGAUGAGGCUCCCAUCCUUUCAUCAGAAGAAUAUAAUGCAUUCUCUACGAUAAUUUACUUCAUGAACUUGUAUUAGAAGGUGAUAAAGCAUUACUUCUUGAAGUGCAUAUGCAGCAGAAAAUCUCACAUUUUACUAAAUGAUUAAAUUUGUUUUUUGCCAGCAUGAAUAUAGAUAUUCAUUUAUAACUUUAUUUCAUACAUCAUUGUGUAUAUGCUUCAUGUCCCUGCAUUCGACUGAUGCAUUUGAGAAUUUCAGACAUUUUUUAAAAGAGAUAUUGAACUAAUAGUAUGACUGACAAAUAUUGAUGGAUGAACAAGUUAUAUCUAAUUACCUGAAUAACAGUGAUAUUAUUACCCGAAUGUGCUACUCAACCCGAACUCAAACAACCUUUUCCUUUUCCUGUCAUAUCAAUGUCCAUUAUGUCUCUCUCAGUUAUUGAAGCCUGUUGUGAUACUUAAACUAUGAUGCUUGGAUGCUUGGAAGAGUCGAUCUUUUAUUGUCUGGUACUCAGCAUUAUCAACAUUUAGAUAAAUCAAGUAUGCCUGGGGAACACGAACUUUACUAAGACAAGAUUAUUUCAUCCCCUAGUGGUUUUUGAGCUGUGUUAUGUAUGCACCUGUGAUCACUAAAUUACUGGUUUUCAUAAGAGAAUGGCUAAAACUCCACCCCCCACCCCCCGCCGCACGCCAAAAGAAAAAAGAGAAGAAAAACACCACCACCACAAGAAGAAAAGAAGAAACACAAAUAGAGAAGAGAGGAACAUACACAUACUACUUUUGAGAGAGCUUACAUAAACCAGGUUCUUGCUUUAGUACCUUUAAAUUUAGCAUCUUCAUAGCACUGCCUUAUUUUGCUAUGUUAACUUGAUAUCUUUUGGUUUUAGGACCUAGAAUGCUAAUGUCCAGUUAUGGGUUGAUGUUUUAUAUACUAUAUUUUCUGGUAUUGGCUAGAAUUAGAGCUGUUUUGGAUUGGUCUAAUAAGAUGCAUUUUUCGUUGCUAAUAAAGUUACUAUGUAGAAUAGAGUUGAAUAUACCUAGUUUUUGUUUAGUUUGGAUAGUUCAAACCUUCUUGUUUUCUCUUAGAUCACACCCAGCAUUCCAUGCUAAGGAAGUAUCUAGUACUUAAUUUGGCACAUAAUGCAUCAGCUGUAAUAUUGUUUUGGAAGAGUGUGGAAUGCUUUCAUUUACUAUAACUCAACACCCCCCAGGCAAAAAAAGUAGUUAAAAAUCAUCGAAUUAGCUGAAUUAUAAUAACAAUCUACUGCUUUUCAGCGCUCCAAUGCAUCAUUUACAGUUUUGGAGUCAGUCAAUGAGAUCACGAUCGCAAUAAUAAGUCAAGUCACAAUUUAUUAUACUUGUGGAAAAAAUAUCUGUCACUAAAAAUCUGUUAUGUUUCGAUACUUCAGCAACUUCUUUUCCUUUUAGUAGAAAAUGAAAAUAAAAUAUAUAGUACCUUGUUUUAUUCUUUUGGAUAUUUGCAUAACUUCACUAUUUAAAAUAAUUAAAAAAUAUGAAAGUACUUCAUUUUUUCCUACAUUUCAUAUAAUUUUUCUUACAAAGAUUAGAUAUUUCAUAGUACUAUUUUAUACUGAUUUUGCAAUAAAAGAGUCAUGUAAAAUCUUAGAUCCGUUUGGUUUGUAGAGGGAUAUUUAAAUUAGAAAAUUAUCAAUAAUUAUGUAUAUUUUUUAUAUUAUAUUUUUAGAAAUUUAAUAUAUUUUAAAUAUAAAUAUGAGCUGAUUGGUUGACCUGGCAAUUGGAUUAUUGACUCAGGGACCCUAUCCCUUCUUCGGAUAGAUUUUCGGUUUGAAUUUAAUAACCAUACUUCUAGUGAUGGUUUCCUUAAUUUUAAUGAUAAUUUUGGUCAUAACUAAUCAUAUACUUUUAGCAAUACUCUGCUCAACUCUUAGCAGUCUUAAGAGCCAUAAAUAAUUACCAAGCAAUUAGGGAUAUUUUAGCAACAGUCCAAAAAGAUGUUAUUAUUCAGGAGAUAAUUAACAACAAUUUGGCAACCCUUCAAAAAUCGUUGGUCUAGCAACAAUCUUAAAAGCUACCACUUGUCUUCAGAUAAUUAGUUGUGAUUUAGCAAUGAAUUUGAUCUCGAUAAGGAGAUCAAAUUUUCCUAGUGUAUCUAUGGUGUCUAUGUUUGCUUAUCUUUGUUUUAGAGAGAUCGAAAACAAAAUUUUCUUGAUUAGAACAAACUAGGUUUUCCUAGCAUAUUAUAGGUCAUCACGCGGUCAUUAAUCUUCCUAUUCUAGGGCAUGCAUGUAAUUCUAUGGCAUAGAUAUUUCAAAGCUGAGGAAAACUAAUUUGGAAUGUGUUACUUUGCAGUCACUUAGGCUCCGUUUGAGGGAGCUU